UGCCAGUUGGUGUUGGGCCUCAUGUGGUCAUUUAACAAUCACAAGAUGGAGAGCUGGGAUUGAGGUGAUUGAGCAAGUUGGUCAUGUGGACAUCUUGCUUAACAACUACAGUGACCACUAUCAAAAUUCUGGCUCAAUUGUGGUCAUAAGUCAAGGACCAUCUGUACUCUGCUUUUAGAGAAUGGUAAAGUAGAGCUUUUAGCUUUAUUCAAGCAACUGUGAGACACAUAAUUUUGAUAUGAAGACAGCUCAGAAAUAUAAGCAUUCUCUCAAAGCAGGAAGUCGACUUAAUCUCCAAA